AUUGAACGCUGGCGGCAUGCCUUACACAUGCAAGUCGAACGGUAACAGGUCUUCGGAUGCUGACGAGUGGCGAACGGGUGAGUAAUACAUCGGAACGUGCCUAGUAGUGGGGGAUAACUACUCGAAAGAGUGGCUAAUACCGCAUGAGAUCUAUGGAUGAAAGCAGGGGAUCGCAAGACCUUGUGCUACUAGAGCGGCCGAUGGCAGAUUAGGUAGUUGGUGGGAUAAAAGCUUACCAAGCCGACGAUCUGUAGCUGGUCUGAGAGGACGAUCAGCCACACUGGGAAUGAGACACGGCCCAGACUCCUACGGGAGGCAGCAGUGGGGAAUUUUGGACAAUGGGCGCAAGCCUGAUCCAGCAAUGCCGCGUGCAGGAUGAAGGCCUUCGGGUUGUAAACUGCUUUUGUACGGAACGAAAAGCCCUGGGUUAAUACCCUGGGGUCAUGACGGUACCGUAAGAAUAAGCACCGGCUAACUACGUGCCAGCCGCCGCGGUAACAC
rnacentral:rRNA from 1 species